UACAGAGGUCUCAAGCGUUGUUCGGAUUCAUUGGGCGUAAAGGGUGCGUAGGCGGCGCGGUAAGUCGGGUGUGAAAUCUUGGAGCUUAACUCCGAAACUGCAUUCGAUACUGCCGUACUUGAGGACUGGAGAGGAGACUGGAAUUUACGGUGUAGCGGUGAAAUGCGUAGAUAUCGUAAGGAAGACCAGUGGCGAAGGCGGGUCUCUGGACAGUUCCUGACGCUGAGGCACGAAAGCGUGGGGAGCAAACAGG
rnacentral:rRNA from 1 species